CGGGUGAGUAACACGUAGGCAACCUACCUUCGAGNCCGGGAUANCUUUCCGAAAGGAGGGCUAAUNCCGGGUAAGNCCACGGGGCUCGGGCUCCGAGGUUAAAGAUGGCCUCUGCUUGCAAGCUAUCGCUCGAAGAUGGGCCUGCGCACCAUUAGCUAGUUGGUGAGGUAAUGGCCCACCAAGGCGAAGAUGGUUAGCUGGUCUGAGAGGAUGGCCAGCCACACUGGGACUGAGACACGGCCCAGACUCCUACGGGAGGCAGCAGUGGGGAAUUUUGGACAAUGGGGGAAACCCUGAUCCAGCGACGCCGCGUGGGUGAUGAAGGCCUUCGGGUCGUAAAGCACUGUCUGGGGGGAAGAAACUCUUGCCGGUAAACAAGUUGCG
rnacentral:rRNA from 1 species